rnacentral:lncRNA from 1 species
GUCGUCAUCCCAUCGGCGCCGGAAUCCAUCCCACUUCCUUUUUGUUGCGCAUAAUAACAGGGAGUCUCCGUAUGUAGCGACGGUCGCGGCCCCCUUCCUACGACCUUUGGAAGCAGAUCCCGCGUAAGAUGCCCCUACUUCUUCAACCAGCUAGAUGAGGAUCCAUGUCCUUCGUGUCCUAGCCGCUACCCUCUGGACAGGUUUCUCUCUUUUCCUCUUACCUUCUCUCCCUCUGUAUGUGUGUGCAUGAGUCUGUCUGUAUUCUUCUGAUUAGUCACUACUGAUGUUUACAUUAAUUGACAUGUUAUGCAGGACGAGUAUUGUGCAGGAAGCCCCCAUUAGUAGGUUUAUAUUAUGGUUUGGCUUUGGCGUCUGUAUAUGUUUAUUCCCAAUUAGGAAUCAGCUACUGUACCAUAGUAGCAUGUCUCUCAUUCUGAAUCUCAAACGUAUUUUAGAAAUCUCAUAUUAAUCAUUUAAUUUAUGACAUAAUUGGAGAAUCCUCAAACAAAAUUUGUUGAUUUGAUGGUUGCAAACCUUGAUGUUUCAAUUUUUCAAAUGCCAUGUAAUGUUUCUCAUAGGCUAGACAUAUAUAUGUUGGCUUAAAUUUACAUUUGUGCUUGGCUCUCUACCUAAAUUCAAUUUCUUCCUUUAUUUUUGUUGGUUUGAUGAUGCAUUUCUCUCAGAGCUUAGUUAUACUAUUGUUAGAUGAAUUUAAUCUUGGACUGGUCUGAUUUCCAUCCCAUGAGCAUGUAUUGAUUUAUUCUCCCAUGGGAAGUAUCUGCUCCAUGCUCCAGUUUGGUCACAUUUAGUCAAUUAUCUGAAUUUAAAUAGAUUGCCCAUAUGCAGAGGUUAAGCAUUGUAUUUUUUAUUUUCAUUUCAGCCCCAUAUUUACCUGUUUAGGGCAUAGUUGUCCUACAAGCUAAAUACUCGUUUCGAGCCAAGAUUAUGUGUCGCCGGCUUCCCCUCUCCAUACACGAUCACCAGUGACACAUGCAUCAACGAGCUUGGUUCUCUCCUGUAAGUAUUCUGUUGGAUAAUGAGCAACUACAAUUACUGAGGGCCAAAAGCCAGUACAUAUACAUGUGUGGUAAAUGACAUAAAGGCUCUUUAUACACUGGGGAUGUACACAAGUGACUAUACAUAUAUAACACCCCCCUCAAACUCAUGGUGGAUCAACAACACUGAGUUUGGAGAGAAAGAAGCCAUGCUGCGCUCGAGUCUGUGCCUUCGUGAAGAAGUCAGCCAACUGUAACUUAGAGGGCACAUAGUGAAGAGCAAGAGUCUGAUCCUGCACAGCAGCACGCACAAAGUGGGCAUCCACGCCGAUGUGCUUGGUGAGCUCAUGCUUCACCGGGUCAUGCGCAAUGCUGAUAGCACAUGUACUAUCAGACAGUAGGGGAGUCGAGGUAGUAGCAGACACACCAAAAUCCUCAAGUAACCACCGUAACCAGAUCACCUCAGCCGUCAACAUAGCCAUGGCUCGCAACUCAGCCUCUGUACUCGAGCGAGAAACCGCAGUCUGUUUCUUUGUCUUCCAGGCAAUAAGAGAGCCGCCAAGAAAGACACAGUAAGCAGACAGCGAGCGUCGAUCAGAGGGAUCACUAGCCCAGGUAGCAUCAGAGUAGGCCUGGAGCUCAAGAGAGCUGGAGCGGGGAAAGAAAAGGCGCUGAGAGAUCGUGCCACGAAGAUAGCGUAGAACACGGAGGAGGUGACUAUAGUGGACAGAGGUGGGGGCUGAAACGAACUGACUCAGGAUAUGGACAAGAUAGGAGAUGUCAGGACGCGUAACAGCAAGAUAGACAAGGCUACCAACAAGGUGACGAUAGCGAGUGGGAUUAGGAAGAGGGUCACCAUCGGAGGCACGAAGCUGAACGUUGAGCUCCAUAGGAGUCACAACUGUGCACUCAUCACCGAGAGCAGCGCGAGCAAGAAGAUCCUGAAUAUAUUUCUCUUGGGAGAUGUAGAAGCCAUCAAAGGUCGAGGAGAUCUCAAUCCCAAGAAAAUAGCAAAGUGGACCAAGAUCAGUCAUGAGGAACUGGUCGCGAAGGUGAGCCUUAACAAAGGCAAUGUAAUCAGAGUCGUCACCAGUAAUGAUCAUGUCAUCAACAUAGAGAAGGAGAAGAGUCCGACCACGAGGAGACAUGUGGACAAACAACGCGGGAUCAUGAUCACUGGGCAAGAAACCAGCGGCAGUCACCACAGAGGCUAAGCGCUCAAACCAGGCGCGAGGGGCCUGUUUGAGCCCAUAGAGAGAGCGACGAAGUCUACAGACCAUGCCAUCAGGAGCAUAGUACCUCGGUGGUGGCUGCAUGUAAACCUCCUCACGUAACUCGCCAUUGAGAAAGGCAUUCUGGACAUCAAGUUGAGAGAUAGACCAAUGACGAACAACAUCUACAACAAGAAGAGUGCGGACAAUGGUCAUGUGGGCCACAGGGGCGAAUGUCUCAUCAUAAUCGCGUCCCUGCUCCUGCUGGAAACCACGAGCCACAAGACGAGCUUUGUAACGCUCAAGAGAACCAUCGGAACGAGUCUUGACUUUGUAGAACCAUUUGCAGGUGAUGGGACGAACACCAGAAGGGAGGGAAACCAGAUCCCAUGUGCCAGAGCGCUCAAGAGCAGCAAGCUCUUCGGCCAUCGCAAGCUGCCAUUCAGGCUGAGUCAUGGCAGUCCGAUAGGAGGGGGGCUCAGCAAGAACAGAGAGACCGUAUCGAUCAGGAGAGUAGCGAUUCGGCGGAGGGCGAGGCCGGGCACGGAGGUUGUGGACCGGGGUAGGCGUGAAUAGAGGUUCACCAAAGGUAGAAGGGGCGUCAGACACGUCAGGAGAAGCAUCCUCAGUACGAGGACGACGAGUAUAGUGGAGAGGAAACGGUGAGAGAGGGCGACUGACGGGAGAGGACGAUGGAGAGGUGGAGGAGGAGGAAGGGGUAGAUGGGGGCGGUGGUGAAGGAGAUGGAAGGCGAGGUGUAGGAGGAGGAGAGGACAUAGGAGGCACAUAGCCGGAUGUAUCAGGAAGGAGAAGGAAAGAAAUAUCGUCCACAGAGAAGCUCGAGGAAGAAGGACGUGGGUAGUAAGAGCAGGACUCGUCAAAGGUCACAUCUCGCGAGAUGCGCAAGCGGCGACCAACAGGGUCCCAACAUCGAUAACCCUUGUGCUCAUCACUGUAACCAAGGAAAACACACUCAACCGACUGGGCAGUCAGUUUGGUGCGUUCCCGCGGGGCAAGGAGGACAUAGCACACACAUCCAAACAUACGAAGAGCAGAGUAGUCAGGAGAGCGACCAGUGAGAUACUCCAUAGGAAUACCACCCUGCAGAGCAGUCGAUGGCUGAAUGUUGACGAGAUAGGUGGAUGCAGAGACAGCCUCGGCCCAAAAGUGGGGUGGAAGAGACGCGGCAAUCAUCAGUGCACGAGCCGUCUCAAGCAGAUGACGAUGCUUACUUCGGCAACGCCAUUCUGAGCAUGAGCACCAGGACAUGAGAACUGGGCAAGAGUACCCUGUUCCGCCAGAAAACCACGCAACAUCUGAGAGAUAUACUCUCCAGCGGAGUCAGCACGAAAAGUACGAAUGGGCGUGGAAAACUGGGUGUGAACCAUGGCAGCAAAUCGUUUGUAUAUAGAGAGAACCUCGCUACGAGAUUUCAUGAAGUAGAGCCAAGUGUAACGAGAGAAAUCAUCAAUAAACAAAACAUAGUAGCGAUGAUCACCUUUCGAAUCAAAGGGAGCAGGGCCCCAGACAUCAGAAUGAACUAAGUCAAAAGGACGUUGAGAUACAGACUCGCUAGUAGGAUACGGUAACUGGGUCUGUUUGCCAAGCCGGUAACCAUUACAAUGUAAGGGGACAUCUCCAGAUACAGACCCUAAGAGGCCCUGGCGAACUAAAGAAGACAAGCGAGAGCCGCAGAUGUGACCAAGGCGAUGAUGCCACUGCUGAAAGGACGCAGACGAAGAAGCAACAAGAGCAUGGGAGCUGGCAGAAGUGGUGGCAGCGGAAGGAACACAAAGCCAGUCAACCUCCCAAAGGCCCUCUGACUCACGGCACCGGGGGCCAGCACCAACCAAAGUCUUGGUGCGACGAUCCUGGAUGGAGCAAGAGUCGGUAUCAAGAAUGACACGACAACCAGAAUCAGUAAGUUGGGCAGCAGAAAAAAGAUUCAUUGUAAGGCGAGGAACAUGUGAAACAUUAGAAACAGAAAAGGAUGGAGUGGAAAGAAGACCACGACCAGUAACAGGAAGCGGUGUGCCAUCGGCAGUAAGAACAUUAACAGGCGAAUCAAGAGGUCGAAGGGAAGACAACACAGAAGAAUCAGAAGACAUAUGGAAGGAGGCUCCAGAAUCCAGAACCCACGAAGAUGUACCUGAUUGCGUAGAUGUCUGCGGUGGUGGAGCAGUGGAUGCAGUCACAGUAGCAGCGGAACCAGUCGACGAGGAGCCGGAGGAAGCCAAGAGACGCUUGAGCCUCACAAUGUCCUGGUCAGUGAGUGACGGAGUCGAGGAAGAUACAGGAGUCCCACUGGAAGAGGAGCGCCUCUGGUCACGCUUCUUCUCACGGCAAUCAGACUCUUGAUGACCUGGCCGAGAGCAAUAGCCACAGAAGGUGUCACGGCGCGAUAGGCCCCUCUCAGUAUAAGCAGGGCGACCCACCCCCCGGAAGGUGUGGGGAGUAGCGGUGGAGUGGUGAGCCGAGCAGACGACACAGGAGCCCGAGCAGCUAACACAGACGGGACCACCGGCAAACCGGCAGAGCGAAGGCGGGUCUCUUCAGCACGAAGCUCGGCAAGUACCUCCGAGAUAGGAACACGACCACGAGCCAGCAAGUGAGCACGUCGGGGCUCAAACUCAGAGCGGAGACGUGAUAAGAACUCAUGAACCCGCUGAAACUCCAAGUCGGACCGAGUAGUUUGAUAGCAACGGCAAGUUCCACAAACAACUGUCCGCAGGGAGUCAAGCUGACGCCGGAUGGCAGAGCACUGUGAAUAGAACUCAUCAACAGACGAGUCACCCUGCUGAAGAGCAUGCUCCUGACGCACCACAGAGAGGUAGAGAGCAUCUCCAGAGGGUUGAUAGCGCUGACAAAGAUAGGACCACAUUGCUGCAACAGUGCCGAGACCCAUGAACUCUGAGGCAAACUGAGGGAGGACACUCGCAGUAAGAACAGCAACAGCUCGAGCAUCAUCAUUGCACCACUGAGUGUAAGCAGACAGAUCAUCCCGGUAGGCAGAAAGAGCAUCAGAAUAGGCGGAUACCUGCUGAUCAUAAACAUCAACCGCAGCAUCAUCGAGAGCCUUGGCGGCAUCCCGGUCAGCCUGAGAAGCCUCAGCAGCAAGGACCGGCGGUACUGGUGGCAUUGGGGCCACUGGCGCAACCGGGCAUGGCGGACAAGGGACCUCGCCAGAGAGAACACCCCACAGAAGGAGUCCACGCAUAUGGAUGCGCAUGAAGCCCACAAACUCAGCAUAGUUGGUGCCAUUGAAGAUCACCGAGCACCGAGGAACCGCGACAUAGCCCGAAGAGGACAUGAGAAAGUCACUCUGCUGCUAUUGUUCCUCUUUUUUUGGUCAACGGGCCCUCAGCUGGAUCUGGAUCGAGAGGAGCGCUCGAAUCAGGGAGCGAGCAAGAGAACCAGCGAACGCAGCCAGGGAGGCAGGGGGCAGGGACGACCAGCCAGGGUGGAGGAGAGGCCGGUGCCGUACCGGGCUGCGGCGGCCGGACCGGGCUGUGGCGGCGGUGGCGGCGGCGUACCGGGUUGUGGCGGCGGCGGCCGGACCAGGCAAGUGCGGAGGCGGCCGAACUGGCAGUGGCACCGGCCAAAAUGGAGAGAAGACAGGGCGGUGGAGGCAAGGCGCACUCCCGUGCGAGCUGCCAAAAUGGAGAGAAGCAGAGGAGACCAACCAAGAGCAUCGGGCUGCAACCAAGAGCGCCCGCGCGAGCGGACACGGACAGUAGGACGACGAGCAGAACGACGGCCAAAGACUAGGGAUGGAGCCUAGAUGCAGCGGCGACGAGUAUGGAGCACACACGGAGUUGCAUCGUGCGGGAGAGAGGGAAACCUAACAUCUGAUACCAUGUUGGAUAAUGAGCAACUACAAUUACUGAGGGCCAAAGGCCAGUACAUAUACAUGUGUGGUAAAUGACAUAAAGGCCCUUUAUACACUGGGGAUGUACACAAGUGACUAUACACAUCUAACAUAUUCCUCCACCCUCCUCCCAUUUCUCUUCCUUUUCCUCGUCCGAAAAUCUAGGUUUUUCAGAUCUCCAUCUCUCCCAGGCUCCCCUUUUCCUGAUUCUCUUGUUUUGUUAUGUUAGAUGAUUGUAAAAUUAACAAGAGUUUCUUGUAAAAAAUAUUGUUGUUUAGGCACAAUGCCACUGCAUGCUAAGAUUAUUGUUGUGUAGUAACUUCAAUAUUUCCCCCUCCUUUUUCUACAAAAUGUGUAAAUGUUGUUAGAUUUAGGGGAAACAUUAGAUUUUGUUUGAAAAGCCUUCAGAUAUCUUUGUCAUUAGGAUAUCAAAGUUCAGUAAUGUUGCUGCUCUGAAAUAGUAUUAAUCAUAUAAGAAGUGUCAACUACUUGUACACUCUAGUAUUUUUAUGAAGAAUCAAGGAAAAAGGCCAUCAAAUCGCCUUGAGGUUGGGAGCAGCGGCAACAUCGAUAAAGUCAUAACCAGAUAGGUAUCAUAUAUAUCUAGUCUUGCAUGAAGUGAUUUUUGUUUUCCAUACAAGGUCAGUUGCACGGCUUCACCUUCAGUUUCCCAAACUAAGCUUCGAUCUCCUUAAAUACUAUCACUAGACAAUAACAUUUGUUUUCCCUCCUUGUUUUCAGUCAACAGAGUAAUUUGUCAUAAUAAAAUUAGUUGUGCAUGUAGCAACUUACCAUGCCUUCAAGUGAAUUUUUUUUUGACCGUGAUGCCUUCAAGUGAAAUUAAAUUUAGUCAACUUACUAAAUUUGAACCGGUAUCGCAAAUUGUGCCUACAAGCUCAGUUAUUGGGGCUUAUUCUUUCCUUCAUGAUAUUAUGUCUAGUAGCCUCCACCGCAGACCAUAUUUAGGAGUUACUUGUUCAAUUCAUUCUAUAUCAAAUAUAUAAAGCAUGGUGCAGGAAAUAUCCUUGCUAAUCAGUUCAAGUGCCAUACUCUUGUUUUCUGUCCCAAUCGCACGUAUAUACAGUCCAUUAUAUGAUAUAGAAGAAUGACUUUGUUGUAGUGAGAGUUUGACACUUAAACUGAUUUGCAGGAUUUUUUUUAGAUAUCUUCCCACUGAUUUGUAAAAAUGAGUCUUUUUCUCGUGUUUAUCUGCCGCCAUGUUAAGGACAGCUAGCAAGGCUCUACCUACUUGUGUGCUAUUCUCGCAUGCUUUAGCUGGACUAUGUAUUAUCCUUCUGGUCACACCAGCAAAAUGGUUGGGUAUUGCUUGGUUUGCAUGAUAAGAGAUAUGUCUGUACAUGGUUUUGUUUGUAAAAUGCUCUCUCUGGUUGCCAUAUCUCUCGAUUUGGAAAAUGCUAUGUGCUAGAAGCUGAAACAAUAGUGUGAAAAGAAACAGUAGUGUAUUUGGGGUCAAUGUUGCAGGAGGAUGGGGGUAUUGAUGAAGAUGUGAACCAUCGAAUCAAAGCCGGAUGGAUGAAGUGGCGCCAAGCUUCUGGCAUUCUCUAUGACAAGAGAGUGCCACAAAAGCUAAAAGGCAAGUUCUACAGGACGGCGGUUCGACCCGCAAUGUUGUAUGGCGCGGAGUGUUGGCCGACUAAAAGGCGACAUGUUCAACAGUUAGGUGUGGCGGAGAUGCGUAUGUUGAGAUGGAUGUGUGGCCACACGAGGAAGGAUCGAGUCCGGAAUGAUGAUAUACGAGAUAGAGUUGGGGUUGCACCAAUUAAGGAGAAGCUUGUCCAACAUCGUUUGAGAUGGUUUGGGCAUAUUUAGCGCAGGCCUCCAGAAGCUCCAGUGCAUAACGGACGGCUAAAGCGUGCGGAGAAUGUCAAGAGAGGGCGGGGUCGACCGAUUUUGACAUGGGAGGAGUCCGUUAAGAGAGACCUGAAGGAUUGGAGUAUCGACAAAGAGCUAGCUAUGGACAGGGGUGCGUGGAAGCUUGCUAUCCAUGUGCCAGAGCCAUGAGUUGGUUGCGAGAUCUUAUGGGUUUCACCUCUAGCCUACCCCAACUUGUUUGGGACUAAAGGCUUUGUUGUUGUUGUUUGUUGUUGAUGAUAUCUUCUGUUCUUUCACCAGCGAGAAGACAAGUGUGCAGAAAUCUUCCUACGAAAUCUUGGUAUGGUUAAGCUGGCAAUUUCCUUCACAAUCUAGGCAAAAGACAUUCUGGCAGCCAUUCUACUUGCUGCACUGCAUUUUCAUGUCUUUUCAUUCCACAUGAACACGAUCAUGUGUUUUCACAAAUGUUGAAGCUAUGGCCAUUCAUAUCUUGUAUUCUGCUGAAAUGGUGAAUGUAAAUACUGCUUACUAUAAUUUUGUGCCAAAAUUAUUUGAAUUUUCUGGUUGUCACCAAACCUGUGUGAAAAA